AAUAUACAUUGUGUUUUGAAAUUUGUUCUAUGUAGAUUUGUACAUAAUUAAAAUUAAUUUAUUAUUAAAUUAAUAAAUUAAAAAAUUUAUUAUUUUUAAAUCCAAGAAUUGAUUAUUUAUAAAUAGUAAUUUUUAUAAUGUGCUCAUCAGGGUUGUAGUUGAUUGAUUCAAAAAAUUAUGUUAAUUUAUGACAUGCAUGUAAAUUAAUCGCUAUGUAGCAAAAAGAGUAGAAAAAACAAUGAACUAUCAACAAACAACAAUUUAAUGUAAUCGUAAUAUCAUACAAUUGUCAACAUAAUCAUUACAUAUUGUAUGACGUGAAGACCUGUGAUUUUCCUCCAUCGAGCUGUGAUGCUUAAGAGUUACUCAAAUUAUUCCUUGGCUGUUCACGUAAUAAAUUUUCGAAAAGCACUUACGGCAGCGUGUGCUCGAGUAAAUAAAAGUGCAGAUAGCUCGGGUGAAGAAACGGUGGAUCAAGACGGUAAAGAAAAUGGAAGUCAGUCGAGAAGUGAAAAGAAAAACGGGAAGAAGAAAGGCAAAAGAAUUACUUUAAAAAAUGUUCAUUUAUAUUCCAAAAGUGCUGAUCAGCCUGUGAUUGAUCCAUCUGUCACUGAGUGAUAAUAAUUUUUAUUUCUUAUUGUUUAUCAUGAAACUUAAUUGUAUCGUUUUCUUUUUAUAAUAUCACUAGUUAUUUAUUGUUUAUUAUCGUUGUGUAGGUUUGAAAACCAUAAGUAAUUGACGUACUGUAAGUUGGUUAAUGUGCUCUAAUUUAUCAAUAAAAGAAAAUUUAAA